GAUGAAGAACGUAGCGAAAUGCGAUACGUAAUGUGAAUUGCAGAAUUCAGUGAAUCAUCGAAUCUUUGAACGCAUAUUGCGCUCUCUGGUAUUCCGGAGAGCAUGCUUGUUUGAGUAUCAGUAAACACCUCAACUUCCAUAUCUUUUUUGAAAUGGGAGUUGGACUUGAGUGAUCCCAACGCUUUUCCUCACCGAAAAGUGGCGGGUUACUUGAAAUGCAGGUGCAGCUGGACUUUUCUCUGAGCUAUAAGCAUAUCUAUUUAGUCUGCCUAAAAAACAGAUUAUUACCUUUGCUGCAGCUAACAUAAAGGAGAUUAGUUCUUGUGCUGACUGAUGCAGGAUUCACAAAGACAGCUUCGGCCGACUUUGUAAACUCGAUCUCGAAUCAAGUAAGACUACCCGCUGAACUUAAGCAUAUCAAUAAGCGGAGGA
rnacentral:misc_RNA from 1 species